CAACACCAACACCGGGCCCGCCUCCUGCAACUCGCCCUCCACCUCAACCAACGUCGAUGUCCUGGCCACAGGACCUGACAACAGAGGAUGCGAUACCCGAUGCGACGACAGUUUUACCCUUUGAAUUGACAACAGAGGAUCCGAUAGCCGAUGG